AAGGCAUCUCAAGGCAUGCUCAACCGGGGGGCUUGUAGGGGGUUUGAAUCCCAAACCACGACCCCCCCCCUCCCACUCGCGAACGGCGCCCUCUGCUCAUUAACGGCGCAACCCGGGGCCGGCGGACCAGGACCGACGUCUGGACAGGCACCAGAGAGCGCGCCCCCGUGCCCAGCGCGGCCCCGAGAGGCUCCUCCGCCUUCCUCCGGGACACCCGCCGCGGAGCAGCGCCCGCAAAGGCCUCCGGGGCGGCCCAGAGCUUGUUCCGGGCGCGGGGCGAGGGUGGCACCGGCCGCGGCCUGGCCUGCGAGGGCCCUCCCGGAACGGGGAACGGAGCGCGGCGAGGACUCCCGGGCCGCUCCGUCUCCCUCCAGCGCCCGCCCGCGGCCGGCGAGGGCGGCGGGAUGUCUGCGCAGGCGCGAGGGAAGCCCCUGCGCCAGAGCCCGCCCUGCCCAGCAAUGGUCCCGCCCGGCGCCCCCUCCGCGGCCAGAUGGUCGCUCCCGCGCCCUUAAAAGCGCCUCCCCGGCAGCGCCUGCCCCUUUCGCCCCCUCGCGCCUUCUGAGGCGCGGCGAGACGGACGGGGCGCUCCUGGGCUCUACUUCUCAACCCGCGGAAGGCAUCCCACACUCGAAAAGGAAAAAACGCUGCUGCUGCUGCCGGCAUUCCUGGACAUGGCCCCAGCCAGCCAUUUGGGGCUUGCAACCGCGGCCCUUGGCGCUGGAGGGCGGACUGCUUCUGAGGGCGUUUCUUAGCCUAUGUGGCUCUUCAGUCUUAAGCUGGGCACUGACAACUGAGGAUGGAGGACUUCCAAGAGUGGGAAGUGCCGGGCCCUUUGGAGGAGGAGUGUAGGUGGUACGGGUGCCUCACUGCUGGAGACUUCAUCAGGAGCAGCCUGCCAGAAUGGUCCGUUUGCAACUUCCUUUGGUUGAUGUUGGUGAAGAAAACCAUGUGCUUUACUGGUUAAUGGCAUUGCUUCAAGGCAAUCUGCUCUCCUGGAAGGAGCCUCUCCAGGUCUUGAAUGAAACUGUCAAGUAACACAUCCGUCAACAAGCCCCGAGAUCUGCUUCUGAAAAAGCGCAGAGCAACAAGAGCUGGGGGGGAGAACUCUGCGCCCUGCAUCACCUCAAGGAUGAGGAGUGUAAAUGGUGUGCAGGCCUGGAAAAUGUGCAAAGCAUUCAGUCUGUGGCAAGCAUCUCCCCAGAGCAGGAAGCAUUGGCCAUUGGAGGAGGAGAGGGGUGGUGCCCCCUCUGUUUUGACACAAUUUGAUUGUAUUAACUAUAAAAUAAAACCUCUCAGUUUUGAAGAGUA